rnacentral:rRNA from 1 species
GAGUUUGAUCGUGGCUCAGAACGAACGCUGGCGGCGUGCCUAACACAUGCAAGUCGAGCGGGAAAGUUCCCUUCGGGGAGCGAGUACAGCGGCGAACGGGUGAGUAACACGUAGGUAACCUACCCUGGAGACUGGGAUAACCUGCCGAAAGGCGGGCUAAUACCAGAUAAGACCACGAGGGCUGCGGCCCUUGGGGAAAAAGAUGGCCUAUGCUUGCAAGCUAUCACUCCGGGAUGGGCCUGCGCGCCAUUAGCUAGUUGGUGAGGUAACGGCUCACCAAGGCUGAGAUGGCUAGCUGGUCUGAGAGGAUGGCCAGCCACACUGGGACUGAGACACGGCCCAGACUCCUACGGGAGGCAGCAGUGGGGAAUAUUGCGCAAUGGGCGAAAGCCUGACGCAGCGACGCCG